GUUUAGAGCAGAGCAUCAAUGGCGGUCUCGAGCUCAACGAUUCGUUUGGAAAUUGGAACUAUUAUUGGAGGUUGAUGUUGCAGUUGGAGUACUUAAAGAUGUAGCUAUUCAGAAUCUCCGGCAAUUAUUCUGCUAUCUGAUUUCUUAGGGAUGAAGGUCCAAACUGAAAAAUAGAUGGUUACCAAAUCCCACAUUGCGUUUUUGUUCAAUAUUUGGACUCAUGCAAAUUACACCACUGAGAAUCUAGCAAUAGCCGGGUUAUAAUGUUGCAAUUUAGAUGAUUGCGGGUUAUCAAUAGCCAAGCUCUUAUCAUGUCUAAUUGGGCUAUUACAAAGAACAGCCGUGUGAAGAAGGUAAUGCUUGCUCCUCAAUCUGUGGCCAUUUGAAGGGAAGGACAGAAGGCAAAAUAUCCAUGGUGAUGGGUGAUUGAUUCUUCCUCUUUUUUCAUGAAAAGUGAGGAAAAGCUGCCGAUUGGUGUUAACCAGAUUGCUUGCUGUCACAAUUACCAAUCCCCAUGCUGUUGCUUGGACAGUGUUUCCUCCUCUGUGGCUACUACCCUCAAACAAGGACCUGGAGGACCAAGACUGAGACGGAGAACUCCCAGAAUUGGAAAUAGAAGUGUGGUGAGAAGCUGACCUGUGAUUUUGACCAAGAGAGGUCCAAGACAUCAUCCUGGUGACCUGUAAAAGUGCAUACUGGUUUUUCUGAGAGGGAAAAUACAAUUUCUGGCACAUUGACAUAAUCAGGAAUUGAAUUGCCCUUUUUCUUGUUAGAGGAUUUCCCCUUCUUCUUCCUCUCCGACGGCAUUGGUGAAAUCUCUGGAAGAGGAGGCUUUUCUUUUUUCCUCUCGGACGGCAUCAGUGAACUCUCUGCAAGAGGAGGUUGUUGCUCCAAUAUAUUUCCUGCCAUGGGAUGAAGUGGGGUGGAACCAGUAGAACUCCACUCGUCAAGUGGCUUUGCCGACAUAACUUCACAUUCUUGGACUUCCCACACAUGAAUUACCCGAUCUUCUCCGGCACUAGCGAGGCUUGCCGUGCUGAUGAACUUUAAUCCACUUGGAGGAUGGGUUUUGCUGAUCUGCCGUUGAAGAAUUAUCUCUCUCUUUGUCACCGAUCAAUCCGCUCAUUGAAUUUGCCACGCACCUUAUGUUCUUCAAGAAUGCGACCCCCCUUCUCUUGCUGUUUCUGAAGCUCUUGGUAAGGUGAAUGACCGACAGUCUUCUCAAAUUCCUCCAUGCUGAGCUGCUUCCCAGUCUCAACUUCACUGAGUUUAUUCCACAUCCCCUCACUAUUGAACUCUUUAACAAUGAACUCCUUACCUGUGUCCAAAUUCUUUAUCAAAAAGAACGUGCUAAACUGACCAUCCGACAACAUAUCUGGCAACGCCCCACUAUUGGGUAUCAAAGAUCUGUUUCUUCUCACCCUUUGUGGUGUGACGGUAUUGGCAUAUUGACCUAUACCAGAAUGUGAUGCUAAUAACAUUGAUGAUGUUCUAGUGAGACGCUGUUUUGAUACUGUACCUAUGAGUUCUUCCUUUCUCUUCCUGGUGUUUGCUGAAAAUGAUAAGAUGUCUCCAUCUGAUCUUGACCGGACAAGUACAAUGGACAUCAAGGCUUCAGGCUGAGGCUCAGGUUCAGGCUCAUGCUCAGGUUUAGGCUUAGACUCAGACUCAUGCUCAUGCUCAGACUUAGGCUUAGGCUUAGUCUCAAAUUCAGAUUUAGGGUUGGGCAUCGGUUUAGAGGGGGAUGAUUCAAUGGCUGAUGAUGUUGAAGGCUGAUCAUUGCUAAUUUUCUUUGAAGAAACAUGCAUGAGCUUGGUGCUGACAAGGCUGAGAAGGUUCUUGGUACUCGAUAACCCCAUACCUUGAAGUAGCUGCCUACGACGAUCCUUAAUCGAUCCAGGUUCUGCCAUCCACAUGUCGUAAUCUCCGAAUAUGGAUGCAGGGCCUCGGUUGGCUGUCUCGAAGCUGCGGAGGUCGUCAAUAGCGGCCUGUGAGAUGGUCGAAGUAAAAGACAUGCGGCUGUCAUCGAACUCAUCAUCGUCUGACCCAGAAGACGCCAAGUCAAGGGAGAUAGCCGAAGAAAGUCGAUCAAAGGUUUCGAAGAAGCAAUCGUCAUCGUCAUCUCCUAAACCGUCCCAGUUCAUCGUCAUUGUCUUUUUUCGUUCCAUGGAGAGAAAUGGCUGGUGAGAAAGAGGAUGGAAGAGAGGAAAACAAGGGUAAUGACUGGUUGGAAUGAAACAGUCAGCUUUCUCUCCUCACGUCCCUGGGGGUUACCAAGUAAGUGAAUUUCAAAACUGACUCUUCUACAUGCACCAUUGAUUCUAUUUGGAUAUAUAACCUUUUGACGUGGGGUGGAGCACAUAAUUGGACACAACCUUUAUACAUGAGUGAAGCCUAGCCAUAUAUAGGGUUGUGUCCAAUUCAAAUUCAGCCCCCAUCCCAUUUGACAGAUUUGUAUUUGGUUAUUUAGUGCACUCUUUUUUUUCAAAAUUUAUUUAUUUAUUUAUUAUUAGAACUAAUUAUAUAUAUGGGUAAAUUACACUUAACUCCCCAAAGGUUUCGAAAAAAUGGAGUUAGUCUCACAGGUUUGGCAUAAUUACAUUUACGUCUCUUUUAAUAAAGUUAAAAUGAUCAAAAUUAAAGCAGAUGGUGAAUAGACAUUAACAUAAACAAAGGUGAAUAUACAUUUUAAUAAGAAAAGAGAUAACAACAUUAUCUUUUUAUCCAUACGAUUAACAAAUUAUUGAUAAAAGAAGUUUAAGUAUUAUGUUAAUUAAAACCUUGAAGGAGACAAAUGUAAUUAUACCAAAUUUUUUCUCAAAUCUUAGAGGAGGUGAGUGUGAUUUACCCUGUAUAUAUACGAUUUUUUUUUAAUUUUUUAAAAUUUUUUUUUUAUGGGAUAUAUAUGAUGUUUGUUGUGUGGAUUUACGCAAUUUCAAAUUAUAAAUUCAACUAGGAAGGAAAAUAAAUUCAGUUACAUAAGGGCAUUGUGUCAUAAAUUCAGAUAAAAAUAAAAUCACCCACAACUAACAUGAAUCAACCACUAACAUGUAACAACUUACGUAAUUAAUAUAAAUUUAAGAGGGAGAUUUUAGGAUUUCAAAGGUUUUCUAGAUUGAUAAUUGGUAUAAAUUUUUGUUAAUUUGAUUGGGACUAUGUUAGUAUUACGUAUAAGGAAAAUGAGUUGGACCCCCUCAAGGAGGCACCCCCUUUGACCCUCUCUCUUUCUGAU